AAGACCCCAUUUUCUGCAAAAUACAAUGAGUUCUGUGUGCCAUAUUCACUGACCCAGUGCCUAUGGUGCAGUGAGAUAUUUAAAGACUGUCCACCUGGGUAUGAGGGGAAUGAGUCCUGUGUGGGUUUUAUUCAUCCAAAGAAUUUGAGGGCUACUGCUCGGCUGACUGUUUUAUCAGUGAUGGAGGAGGUGGUGGUGUGCUGUUCUCCUGGACAACUUCACUCCGCAAAUCGCUCAACCACUGAGGGGAGGAGCUUCACCAUUCAAAAGGCAAUGCCUUCAGGGAGAGUAUUUGUGCACAUACAUUCAUUAAGAACUAAUAAUUACAUAUGUGUGUACAUGCAAAGGUAAUUUUUUUCUAGUUGUUACAGCUACAUACAAGACAUUUAAAAACAUUUAAAUGCGAGUGUAUGAAAUAACUUCUGUUUGCGAUCCAAUGUGGAUUCUGUUCACCAUAUAAGACAAAAGAUAUCCAUGUGGUUCAUACCAGCUGCUGUCAGACUCCUUGUGCAUACAAAAAACUCACUGGGUUAUUACAAUUAAUGGCAAAAUGAAUGUUUGGAAAUGUAAACUGAUAUUUCCAACUGACACACUACAGCAAAAGAUAGAAAAAAUUAGCUUAAAACCAUUUUUUUCAGUGUGAAAAUACUAACAUGCCUAAGACUAUAUUAAUAUUUUACUAGUAGUAUUAUAAAAGAACAUAAAUCUUUAUUUUUUUCUUAUUCAGAGUAUGCGGUUGUAAUACUCUGAAUAAGAAGUAUUCCCGCACAUUCAAUGCACAUUCUCUAAUUGAAUUUUCUAGUAUGAGGCUGUUAAUCUUUUAAUUUAGCUUUCCUGUAUUUUGUUCACUCCCAUCUGCCGGAUCGAGUUCAGACGGAUGAACAGCAUCAGGGAAUGCUUGCAGUGCAGAGCCCUUUUCAAGUCAAACCCACCAGGGUACAGGGUACAGGGUAAGAGGCCGACAUGGUGAACUUCUGGGCUUUUCCUCAGAUGUUUGCACAGGAUUUUGUUCCAAGGACUGUUUUUUUUUUUGCGGCAUGAAACACCUUGGUGUGUUAAGUUCAUAGAAGGGAAAGAAAGAAUGAACUGAGAUCAGCUGGUUUUGAUGUAUUAAUUGAUGUAAACAACAACAAGUUAAACUUUGCAGUGUAUAGUGUUUUAAUAAAAAAGCUAUGGCAAACA
ensembl:lncRNA